CCUACGGGUGGCAGCAGUGGGGAAUAUUGCGCAAUGGGCGAGAGCCUGACGCAGCGACGCCGCGUGAAGGAUGAAGGUCCUCUGAUCGUUAACCUCUUUCAGCAUGGAAAUACGGUCACUGUGCUAAUCAGCAGUGAAUUGACCGUAUCUACAAGCGUAGCAUCGGCUAACUCCGUGACAGCAGCCGCGGUAAUACGGAGGGUGGGAGCGUUAAUCGGAUUUACUGGGCGUAAAGGGUUCGUAGGCGGUAAGUCAAGUCAAAGGUGAAAUCACCGGGCUCAACGUUGGAAUUGCCGUUGAAACUGGUUAACUUGAGUGUAUUAGAGGAUAGUGGAAUGCGAGGUGUAGGAGUGAAAUCCGUAGAUAUCUGGCGGAACACCAGUGGCGAAGGCGACUAUCUGGAACAUAACUGACGCUGAGGAGCGAAAGCGUGGGUAGCAAACAGGAUUAGAUACCCUUGUAGUC
rnacentral:rRNA from 1 species